rnacentral:misc_RNA from 1 species
AAAAAAAAAAAAAAAAAAAGAUUCGAAAAUGCAAGAGAGCUCCAGCCGUCAAUUUCCAUAGAGUGACCUAGCUGUAGCUAGACCAUUCCCCAGCCUGUAUUCGGGCAGCUGCCCGUCCAUAUUUACCAAUUUGCCCUAACCCUAGCCCGUCACAGUAUAUAAUGGCCGCACUAUUACCCUUGCUUCUAUACACGCCAAUCCGUCGCAUUCCAAAAUCUCUUAUUAGCUAGCGUUUCUAUUCAAAAUUCAAGAAGUCUCCAACCAAAGCUUCAAGGAAACAAUGGCGGUUCUUUCCUGGACUUUUCUCAUUGCUGUAAUGGCUCUUCUACUUUCUGCGCUCUCUAUUCAAGCCGCUGUUCCGGAGGCUGCUCCGGCUCCCGCUCCCAUCGCUGCAGCUGGCUUGAUCUCGCCUUCUUUUGGCUCUACCUGCCUUGCUGCUGUCGUGGCGUUCUUCUUUGUCAAAGGGUUGAAGAUCUGAGAAAUAGGCGUAAGGAUAUUAUUGAUUUUUGAGAUUUACUACUCAUUUAGAGUUUAUUGUCGGGUUUAGUAAGUAGUGUUGGAUCUAGGCCGUUGGGAGUUGGUAUAUUUAUAAAAAUAUAUAAGGUUUAAGGAUUGUGAGAGUGAGAUUUUACAGUUAUGUAAUAUGUUUGGUGGUGCACAGAUGGUUAUGGAUUGACUUAUUAUUAUUAUUAUUAUUAU